CCUGUAGUUGCUGGUCACUAAAAGCAUGCUGAACAUUUUCAAACUGUACAGAGGGAGAUGCAGCUGAUAUAGGUUCAAUUCUAGGAAUAGAAUGGGCAGGUAUAGAGCUGGAGCUGACAGAGACCUCACCCUCAGAUAUAUCAGGACCUGCAGAAUCAGACUCUAACUGAGAUGGGAGAGAAAUCAUAAUUGGAGAUGUGUUCAUACCAGAGGAUGAAGUAGAGGACUGCUGUGGAGUGAUGGGAGACACAAAGGGAUAUACAGACUCAUCAUGGAUGACAUCCCUAGAAAUCACACAUUUUGCAGUCGCACAAUUAUAUCCAAUAACCCCUUUAUAUCCAGUAGCAUAUCCUAGAAAUACACACUUAGUUGUGCGAGGUUGUAGCUUGUGCACAUUAUAAUGACGAAGAUAAGGAUAUACAGCUGUACCAAAAACCCUCAAUGAGUGAAUACUAGGAUCCUUUCCAAACAACCGAAAAUAUGGAGCUUGAUUAUCC
rnacentral:lncRNA from 1 species